UGUAUCAGAAUGCUUAAAUUCGUACCUCGUCUAGUGGUCCAUUGUAUUCUACGUGAGACUAUAACUAAGAAAAAUGUAUCAGAAUGCUCAAAUGCAUGCUUUGUCUAGUGGUCCAUUAUAGCCAACAAUGUCAUGUCCAACCUCUUCUACGAGCUUGUUCCACCGUGCGAUGCCCGGUGCGGCGAAGCCUUCUUGACUCCGUGGCUGUGGCGGCGGCGGCGCCGCGCGGGUACCUAGCGCCACUCAUUACUCUGAUUCGGGUUCCGCGCUCUCGGCUCAGUUCACCGCGAGGUUCCGCGCCCUCAUGUCGCUACCCCGGCUCGGGCCCUCAGCCCGACUCCACGUCGUAUUUACUUCGCGUUGUUCCCAUUUCAAACCUCGUUAGGAUAUGCAAUUAUAACUUGGAGUUCACUAAUUAGCCACUAUGAGCAAUAUGCCAUUAUAAAUAUUAUAAGUUAUUGAUAUUUAAAGCUGUUCGACGGUUUAAAUAAUAUUCAAUGCUAUGCGAUAGCAGGUGUCAAAUGGGAACCGAAAAGAACAAUGGAGAGAAUGAACAAAUAAAUACAAUUUCUACUUGAAAUAUAUGACCAUAUGUUCAUAUUUUGAUACAUUAAGAAUGAGUGAAAAGUGAGUUAUCAGAUGAUAACUAAAGUCGGUAAAUCGUACUAAAUUGUUGUGAUUUGAAGUGUGAACAAUGUCUUAAAAGCAAGUUAGUCCUAUAAAACCGGAGGCGUCAUCAGGUUUUAAAUGGUUCUUUCAGUGCGUCCGUUUUUUUCAAAAACACAGAAGAUUUUUCGGCGAAACGCAGAAUUAUUGAAUCACAGUAAGUACAUAUAUUGAGAUCUUCACCUUUGGACUUACACCUAAAAAGCACGAUGUAAAGGCCCAAAGAAGGUCCAUAUGUCUCAGCAUCAAAUGUGUAUACGUAUGCAUGAUUGAGAGCUUUGCAGCAGACCUGUUACAUAUGGACCGAUAGUUUAACAGAAAUGCACCAAGUUGCAUUUUGGAAAACAUGAGUUGGGCGUAGUUUUAAAUCCAACUAGUC
rnacentral:lncRNA from 1 species